rnacentral:hammerhead_ribozyme from 1 species
AUCCAGCUGACUAGUCCCAAAUAGGACGAAACACGCGUCCUGAAU